GGAAUAUGAGAAAUGUCACCUCCUGGCUACCACAAUAAUGCAACUAGGAGUUCUGGUUCUCCGCUGACUACCCACAGGAGUCCUUAGAGGAACCACACAGGAAACCUGGGAAACCUAACACUCUGAUUCCAAGGCUCCAAGCUUGAUAUAGAAGACUAUCAUAUGAACCAGAAAGGGUAACUGAAACCAAAGAAAUGACUCCAGUAUCAAGCUAAAGACAUGCCUUAAAGGAUGAGGAGGAGCAGAAAUCUUACCAGCAAGGCAAGAAAGAAGCCGUACGUGAACAGCCUCUGCUUUAGGCCCAGAAGGAAAAGAAGCUUACAGGAGACAAUCAGUCUUACACUCUUCCAUGGUCACAAACAAGAGGUCCCUGGAUCUACAGGUCAUCUUGCCCCUGAAAUGGCCCUGGAAAGCUAUGGCUGAAGAAUGGAGGAAAAGAUGACUUUCUCUGUUUCUUCAGACCAGGCAUCAACUGGGAUGUUGGGAUGUUGAUAAAAGGACAUCUCAUCCUUUGUUUUCUGCCUAUGCUUUCACCAUACCCAUUCCCAUGUCUGGUCAUCACAGCAUCCUUCACAGCCCUUAGCUGAAUCAUGUUGAGUACAGGAUGGUGUGAAUAUCAUGGUUUGAAUGCAACCAUGGUCUGUCAGUGUGGCUUGUUUUUUGCAGCCCACUUAGACUUAAGCCCUCUUAAUUUCAAAAUUACGUUCAUAUGUGCCAAUAAAGUUGUCCCUACAUGAACUGAAAAA
ensembl:lncRNA VLDLR-AS1 VLDLR antisense RNA 1